UUUUAGCUAUUCACCAAACUAAUGGCCUAUACUCACACAAAUCACUAAGAUCAAUGAACAUUAAAACGAUUACUACUCAACAUAGAUAUCCUCAUUCCCUGUUGUGACAUGAUGUCACAACAAGAGCUUUUCCGGUUGGGUCAUAUAUUAGUGCAAGGUCAAAAUAAAACACAAACCAUUUUAUACCUCGCCAUACAUUGCUUUAUUUUUUAGGAUAUUUCUUUUUGUCAGGUUUUACCAAUUUAUAAAAUGAUCUUGAAAAUACCAUAACCGAAUUUUUUCAAACUCUUAAAUUCACAUUAAAAAUAAAACCCAAGAUGUAAUUUAAAUCUCAAAAACUCCAUUCUCUAAGUGAAAUGCAGUUGAAGUCAUAAUUCAAUCAUCAAUAAGUACAUUAGGGUCAGAGAAGAAGCGUAUAUAGGAUAUACUCACACAAAUCACCAAACUAACGGCCUAUACUCGCACAAAUCACUAAGAUCAAUGAACAUUGCAACGAUUACUACUCAACAUAGAUAUCCUCAUUCCCUGUUGUGACAUGAUGUCACAACAAGAGCUUUUCCGGUUGGGUCAUAUAUUAGUGCAAGGUCAAAAUAAAACACAAACCAUUUUAUACCUCGCCAUACAUUGCUUUAUUUUUUAGGAUAUUUCUUUUUGUCAGGUUUUACC
rnacentral:lncRNA from 1 species